AAGGAGUCUUGCAUGGAGUUGCCUAUCUCUUGUUUCUCCUACUAACAGCCAACUUCUUCUUCUUCUUUUUUUAUAUAUUUAUUUUUUAGUUGUAACUGGACACAAUAUCUUCAUUUCUAUUUAUUUUUAUGUGGUGCUGAGGAUCGAACCCAGGGCCCUGCACAUGCUAAGUGAGCGCUCUACUGCUGAGCCACAAUCCCAGCCCCAACAGCCAACUUCUUAUGAUUACCUUCUCACUAGUCAUAUAAUCUAAUACCUCCGUAUUCUCACAUCCAACUCCCCAAACCCCCUUCCACCAUCAGAAACUGUAAACCAUUACGCAAACCUAUUGACUAUAUGGUAGAAGAUAACUUAUAAUUUCUAAUUAUAGUGACAAAACUGUAAAUGUAAAAAUGGAAGCUAACUCAUAUAUGGCUGCAUGUUGGGUACAUUGAGUGCUGUAAUAUUGAUCUCUCUUAAAAGUGAGGUAACCUAUAGGGACUCUAUAAGACAAUAGGGCAGAAGCUGUAAUACCGUGGAUCUACACUGCAAGAGAGGAAGACACAUAGACAUUAUGAAAAAACAAGGGAGGAAAGUGCCCUUAACAAACCAAGACACUACAACAAGAGGAUCCAUAGAUAGCGCAGAUGGUGAAAUGUCAGAUAAGGAGUUCAGAAUAUACAUAACUGAAAUGAUUUGGGAAUUAAGAACAACCUAAGUGAGCAAAUACAGGCAAAAAUCAAUCACUCCAACAAAGAGAAGAGAACAAAUACAGGCGACCAUUGAUCACACCAACAAAGAGAUAAGAGAACAAAUGCAGGUUGCAAAAGAUUACUUCAAGAAAGAGAGAUACUAAAAAACAAGUAAGCAAACAAACAGACAAACAAACAAAACCAAACAGAAAUCCUUGAAAUGAAAGAAACAAUAAGCCAAUUUAAAAAACUCAAUAGAUAGUAUCACCAAUAGACUAGAUCACUUGGAUAACAGGACCUCAGACAAUAAAGACAAAAUGCACAAUCUUGAAAAUAAAGUUGACAUCACAGUGAAGAUGGUAAGAAACCAUGAACAGAAUAUCCAAGAAUUAUGGGACACCAUCAAAGGACCAAAUUUAAGAUUUAUUGGGUUGAGGAAGGUUCCAGAGAUUGAAAUCAAAGGAAUGCACAAUCUCUUCAAUGAAAUAAUAUCAGAAAAUUUCCCAAGCAUGAAGAAAGAACUGGAAAAUCAAAUGCAAGAGGCCUAUGGGACACCACAUGUACAAAAUUAUAACAGAUCUACACCAAGACACUUUAUAAUGAAAAUGUCUAGCAUACAGAAUAAGGAUAGAAUUGUAAAGGCUGCAAGAGAGAAAAAUCAGAUUACCUAUAAGGGAAGACCAAUUCAGAUCUCAGCAGAUUUUUCAACCCAGACUCUCAACGCCAGGAGAUCAUGGAACAACAUAACAUAUACCAAGCUCCAAAAGAUAAUGGAUGCCAACCAAGAAUCUUAUAUCCAGUGAAAUUAAGCUUCAAAAUUGACGAUGAAAUAAAAACCUUCCAUGAUAAACAAAAGCUAAAAGAAUUUAGAGCAAGAAAGCCUGCAUUACAGAACAUUCUUGGCAAAAUAUUCCAUGAGGAGGAAGUGAAAAACAAUGAAAAUCUCUAAAGGGAAGAAAUACAAUAAAGGAAAAGCCAACCAAAGG
rnacentral:lncRNA from 1 species